AGUGAACGCUGGCGGUAGGCCUAACACAUGCAAGUCGAACGGCAGCACAGUAAGAGCUUGCUCUUACGGGUGGCGAGUGGCGGACGGGUGAGGAAUACAUCGGAAUCUACUUUUUCGUGGGGGAUAACGUAGGGAAACUUACGCUAAUACCGCAUACGACCUACGGGUGAAAGCAGGGGAUCUUCGGACCUUGCGCGAUUGAAUGAGCCGAUGUCGGAUUAGCUAGUUGGCGGGGUAAAGGCCCACCAAGGCGACGAUCCGUAGCUGGUCUGAGAGGAUGAUCAGCCACACUGGAACUGAGACACGGUCCAGACUCCUACGGGAGGCAGCAGUGGGGAAUAUUGGACAAUGGGCGCAAGCCUGAUCCAGCCAUACCGCGUGGGUGAAGAAGGCCUUCGGGUUGUAAAGCCCCUUUGUUGGGAAAGAAAAGCAGCAGGUUAAUACCCCGCCGUUCUGACGGUACCCAAAGAAUAAGCACCGGCUAACUUCGU
rnacentral:rRNA from 1 species